rnacentral:rRNA from 1 species
GUGCCAGCAGCCGCGGUAAAACGUAGGGGGCCAGCGUUGCUCGGAAUUACUGGGCGUAAAGGGUCUGUAGGCGGUGCGGUAAGUCCGGAGUGAAAUCUCCAGGCUCAACUUGGAGGCUGCUUUGGAAACUGCCGUGCUCGAGUGCGGGAGAGGCGCGUGGAAUUGCAGGUGUAGCGGUGAAAUGCGUAGAUAUCUGCAGGAACACCAGUGGCGAAAGCGGCGCGCUGGACCGCAACUGACGCUGAGAGACGAAAGCUAGGGGAGCAAACAGGAUUAGAUACCCUGGUAGUCCUAGCCCUAAACCAUCAGGACUUGGCGUGGGCCCCGUCCGGGGUCCGUGUCGUAGCCAACGUGAUAAGUCCUGCGCCUGGGGAGUACGGUUCGCAAGGCUGAAACUCAAAGGAAUUGACGG